ACAGUAUGAUGAGUAUAACUGAAGCACAUAUUGCUGGAUGCUACAGAGAAAAUCACAUGGAGAAUAACACUAAUGGACAUGUAAACACACAUCGAUAAAUACAAUACAAUUAGCCCUCCAGAACUGAUGGAAAGAACACAGCAGAGGAGCUUUUAUGUAUACAUGAAGCUAUUCUCAUUCUGUGUAUUAGAAUCCAACUCCUUGGCAAAAACUAAACAGCCUCCAAAAAGCCUGCUGGAUUGGCUCUGUCCAUUCCUCAUACUAUGACAAAGAACUGUGGAGCGUCAAUAGGGAAAAGAAAAGGGCAUGGGGGCACUGCAGGAAACUCUGCAAGGACUCUGCAUUUCAUCUGGAGAACAAUGGACUGGAAGAGUACAUAAUCUAUCCCCUUCACAUCAACACACAAGCACUGAUAUUUCUCUGAUAUUUGCUGCUACAACCUCCCCAGAUGCAGCCACAACUUACUUUGUUGUUUCUUUACACUGAACACAUACCUUAGCUGACCUUGCUUCCUGAAGUGCAAAUUGCGCAAAUGUAAUCUUUGCAAAAUUCCUCAUAUUCCUCAAACAUUUGCUCAAACUUCAUCAUUUUUGAAGACUCUGAUCACCCUACAAAUGCUACAGACAUCUACCAACUCAGCAUUCUAUUCAUUUAAUUACUCCAAUAUUGUCAUUGUUUCAAAUAUCCAUAACCUUUUAAUGUAUUAUAUAAAUUAUUUAUUAUUGUAGAAAAUGAAAAUUAGCUGGACAGCAAAUAUCUACCCAGUCAAAAAAGAUUUAGAUAAAUUCAGCUGGAAAGUUAACAGGAAACACAUUUCUUCCAAGGUUUGUGGCCACUGAAAAGUGGUAAGAUAACUGCCUUCUUUGAUUGACUACCUCUUUCUUUCUUUCCUCCUUUUUUCUUUCCUUUCCUUUCUCCUUUCUUUCUUUCUUUCUUUCUUUCUUUCUUUCUUUCUUUCUUUCUUUCUUUCUUUCUUUCUUUCCUUCUUUCUUUCUCUUUCUCUUUCUUUCUCUAUCAUAAAUUGUGCUUUUUGAAAUUAUGCCGGUAAGAACAACAUAUCCCACUCUUGCUUGGAUAAUCUGUCAUUUUGAAAGAGAGAAGCAACCUUUAUACACAAUCUAAACUCAAAACUUCAGUUGGGAGUUUCUGAAUAAAAU
rnacentral:lncRNA from 10 species